UACGUAGGGUGCAGGCGUUAAUCGGAAUUACUGGGCGUAAAGCGUGCGCAGGCGGUUUCUUAAGUCAGAUGUGAAAUCCCCGGGCUCAACCUGGGAACUGCAUCUGUGACUGCAUAGCUAGAGUACGGUAGAGGGGGAUGGAAUUCCGCGUGUAGCAGUGAAAUGCGUAGAUAUGCGGAGGAACACCGAUGGCGAAGGCAAUCCCCUGGACCUGUACUGACGCUCAUGCACGAAAGCGUGGGGAGCAAACAGG
rnacentral:rRNA from 1 species